AUUUAUAUAAUAUAUAUUAUUAUAUUUGACUUCCAAUCAAAAAAACUAACUUUUUAGUGUAAAUA
rnacentral:tRNA from 1 species